GGCUACGAGGACGAACGCUGGCGGCGUGCUUAACACAUGCAAGUCGAACGGAGAUUAUUAAUGAAGCUUGCGAUUUAAUAAUCUUAGUGGCGGACGGGUGAGUAACGCGUGGGCAACCUACCCAUAAGAGGGGGAUAACAGUUGGAAACGACUGCUAAUACCGCAUAAGCUAUUAAGGUCGCAUGACCUUAAUAGUAAAGGUGGCGAAAGCUAUCACUUAUGGAUGGGCCCGCGUCUGAUUAGCUAGUUGGUGGGGUAGUGGCCUACCAAGGCGACGAUCAGUAGCCGGCCUGAGAGGGUGGACGGCCACACUGGGACUGAGACACGGCCCAGACUCCUACGGGAGGCAGCAGUGGGGAAUAUUGCGCAAUGGGGGAAACCCUGACGCAGCGACGCCGCGUGAAGCGAAGAAGGCCUUAGGGUCGUAAAGCUCUGUUGUAAGGGACGAAUGUUUAUCUGGCGAACAGUCAGAUUAAGUGACGGUACCUUACCAGCAAGCCCCGGCUAACUACGUGCCAGCCGCUGC
rnacentral:rRNA from 1 species